AGAACGAACGCUGGCGGCAGGCCUAACACAUGCAAGUCGAACGCUCGUAGCAAUACGAGAGUGGCAGACGGGUGAGUAACACGUGGGAACCUUCCCUAUGGUUCGGAAUAGCUCAGGGAAACUUGGGGUAAUACCGGAUAAGCCCUUCGGGGGAAAGAUUUAUCGCCAUUGGAUGGGCCCGCGUCGGAUUAGCUAGUUGGUGAGGUAACGGCUCACCAAGGCAACGAUCCGUAGCUGGUCUGAGAGGAUGAUCAGCCACACUGGGACUGAGACACGGCCCAGACUCCUACGGGAGGCAGCAGUGGGGAAUAUGGACAAUGGGCGCAAGCCUGAUCCAGCCAUGCCGCGUGAGUGACGAAGGUCUUCGGAUUGUAAAACUCUUUUGGCGGGACGAUAAUGACGGUACCGCAGAAUAAGACCGGCUAACUUCGUGCCAGCAGCCGC
rnacentral:rRNA from 1 species